GACAAACGCUGGCGGCGUGCUUAACACAUGCAAGUCGAACGGAAAGGCUCCAGCUUGCUGGAGUACUCGAGUGGCGAACGGGUGAGUAACACGUGGGUAAUCUGCCCUGCACUCUGGGAUAAGCCUGGGAAACUGGGUCUAAUACUGGAUAUGACCUUUCUCCUUAUGGGGUUUGGUGGAAAGUUUUUCGGUGUAGGAUGAGCCCGCGGCCUAUCAGCUUGUUGGUGGGGUGAUGGCCUACCAAGGCGACGACGGGUAGCCGGCCUGAGAGGGUGAUCGGCCACAUUGGGACUGAGAUACGGCCCAGACUCCUACGGGAGGCAGCAGUGGGGAAUAUUGCACAAUGGGCGGAAGCCUGAUGCAGCGACGCCGCGUGAGGGAUGACGGCCUUCGGGUUGUAAACCUCUUUCAGCAGGGACGAAGCGUAAGUGACGGUACCUGCAGAAGAAGCACCGGCUAACUAUGUG
rnacentral:rRNA from 1 species